CCCCUCUCCGGCUAGCGGGGGGAGGCGGAGGGGGAGUUGUGGGAGGGUCUCUCGCCAUUGAAAUAAACAAGCAGCCAGUUAUUAAAACGGGAACAUGGCGGCCGCAGCCACAGCUUUAUCUUGCAAAGCGAAGGUCAGCGCCCGCGGCAGCCGGAGACAUGACUGACCCCGCACACUUGAGAUGUAUCUGAGUACUGAAGCUCACCCAAACACACAUGACCUACAGAACUGAUUUGACUGCCUCACUGAAUCUUGAAAUCAGGAAAUGUGGGUUGAACCUCUGGGAUCUGUAUGGCUGGUGCGUGAAAAUGUUACGUCCUGAAUGACAAGAUACUGCUGGAACAGCUCGGUAUGUAACAUUGCUGAUUGUAUGUCUAUGGUUUUGAUUUUCAGUUUAACUUCUUUCUUUUUUGUUUC
rnacentral:lncRNA from 1 species